CGGGACGGGUGAGUAAUGUCUGGGAAACUGCCUGAUGGAGGGGGAUAACUACUGGAAACGGUAGCUAAUACCGCAUAACGUCGCAAGACCAAAGAGGGGGACCUUCGGGCCUCUUGCCAUCGGAUGUGCCCAGAUGGGAUUAGCUAGUAGGUGGGGUAACGGCUCACCUAGGCGACGAUCCCUAGCUGGCUGAGAGGAUGCCAGCCACACUGGAACUGAGACACGGUCCAG
rnacentral:rRNA from 1 species